UACUGAUAGCGUGAAAUGGUUCGAUGGAGCCGGGCGAGACGACAAAGGUGGAACCCGUCGACUAAGGACGGACUGAGACUAUAACGGUUCUUUAAUUAUUCGUCAUUAUUUUCACACUCCUAUGAGACCUUCGCUGAAGCGCAAUCUCUAUCGGAGGCGUAUGCCGCUAAAGCGCAAUCUCGAUUUCUCUCUCGGACAAUCUGCAGAGCUAGAAGAGAGCGUGGACCUCCUCGCGCCAUCGCCUGUAUCGCGAUGCCCGACCGCGCGGGAUACUUAGGCAGCGCGCGCCCUGACAUCACCCCAUACACACACAAACCCCGAGGACACGGCUUGAGAUAGUCGCCGGUUCCGAGGACUGUGAGGUCGAAAACUGACCCAGCUCGAAGGGCGUACCCAAAGCCCAACAGGAGGGGUGACGGUGCCAGCGACUGCCAACAACAACAGUCUUCCUACCUCUGCAGGAUCCAGGGAAGCCGAACCAUCCACGUCGCCGCCUGAGUCCAGAGACAUAAUUGAUUGGUAAUAGCAGACUCUCAGCAUAUGUGAGUAUUUACCUUGAUGGACGAGCAUCUCAUCCCAGGUUGGUUCAUGUACUGUCUUCAUUAUUUCCAGGAUCUGUACAAGAUCUCCUGCCUCAGUAAUGUACAAAAUGUUUCAGAAAUAAUAAAAUUAAGUUAAUUGUCAUUUUCAUUUACUACUAUUAGUUUAUUUUAGGUCCACACAUUAUGUUAUUAGUGUGUUUGUGGGGAUGUUAAGACAGUUGUACAACUUUAUCUUUUAUUUUUUUGGAAGAGGAUUUGGUAUGAUAGUCAAGAGAGGUAUAAAUAUUGCUCAACUGUGAUAUCAUCUGGAAGUAGUCUGCUAAUCAUUAAUAAACUGCAGAAAGUGUGGUUUAGUAGCUAAGGAAGUUAAGUUCAGCAGGCUGAAAUCUCACCUCCUCCUUAAUGAUGCUAAAUAAAUCAUUUUACCUUCCCCAAAGUGUACCUAGGUUAAAAAAAAAUCAUACCCUACAUGUAUGAGGCUUUUUACAUGUUCACCAUGAAGGAUACUAAAGAAUUCUUUACUUAAUGUAUUUUUUUCAAUACUAAAGACAUUUGCUAUAUAUAUUUAAUCUUGGUUUCUUGUAUUUUAUGCAUUUAUUAAAGGUUUAUACACAAAUGUAAAUAUACAUAUGUGUUGCCUGUUCUGCACAUACAUGCAUGUUUUCUUAGAUCUUGUUUUGAACGUAAUUAAAAACUUUUCUACAUAUCCACUCCUGUAUAGUUUUGUUGGUGUCUGGUAGGCUUUUAGUGGCACACAAGGCCUGUUAAGAGAGGAAAAUUUUAACGGGAAUGUAGAAAUUUAGCUGCAUCUUACCCCAACUGGCAUUUCAGAUAAAAUGGCUAAACUGUAGCUGUACCAAACUUUGGUCAGGUCUGUACUUCCAUCUGAUAACAAUGGUGUAAAUCAGAGUCGAGUAGACAACUUUGCAGAAGCUCAAUCAAACAAAAAGGCACCCAAAUGGACUUUUAUCUUUGGCAUUUGACCACAAACUGAAUCUGCAUGAAUAUGAUGGGCAUAAUAACAUUCCUAUGAGCAGGAACUGGUUCUGUAACUGGAAGUGACAUUGACUCAAUCACCAGAGGUUACACCUUUCUUCAAAACUAACUGCACUCAUUACUUUUGGCUCUUUGGAACCAAAAAGCUGAUGGGGAGAUGGAAGCCGACAAGUACAGUACCAGAAAGACUCCUGCUUUUCCAUAUGAAGCUGCGGAGGAACACUGCAAAGAGCUUAACAGUGAGUUGAGAAAGGCAGCAUUGCAGCAAACCGAAAACAAAACAGCAUGUAGCACUGAGAAAUGCUAAUAGAAACGUCCUCCACUUGAACCUGGAGCAAAAAUUCCACACAAUAUUGGAUAUCAUCCUUAAAGACUUGAUAUUGUAAAACUGCAUCUGUGGCAAGAUAAAUUAGAACUUUUAAAGGCAUGUAAACUAUAACCUCCUUUGUAUUUCGAUAUAUAUGCUGUUAUGUUUUCAUAAUUGUGUUUUUCUAUAAAUUGUAUUCUGUUUCUUAAAAUGUUUGCUUCAGUUAACUUGAUACAAGUGUAACGGCACUCUCAUACAGAAAAAUUUAAGGAAAUUAAACAGAAUCCUUACCAAAUUAAUUAAUUAUUGACAUUGCCACAGGCAAAGCUGAUAAUUAACUGAGUUAAAAUUUUCUUCUCUCUCUACAUUGGGUUUCCAAAAAUUAAUACAAGGGGAAUUAAAAGCACUUUAUACGUAUUUUACUCUGGUUAAAAAAAAAA